UUUGACUUGGAAAGACUACACACCACAGCAACUCACAGGUCGGGCAACCAGCUGGACCUCAUUUUUACACACCAGCACGGACUACACCACCCAGCCCCUGGCUGUCUGACAUCCUUCGUGAACAUCGGACUGUUCUCAGGGCAGCUGAGAGGAGAUGGCGGAAAUCUAAAGAUCCAGCUGAUCUAGCCCAACGACACCACAGUGACCGUUCGAAUCGCUGCCUGUCUGGCAGACAUCUCGGCCUGGAUGAAGGAACACCACCUUCAACUCAACCCUGCCAAGACAGAACUCCUUGUCUUUCCAGCCAACCCUGCUGUUGAACACAACAUCACCGUGCAGCUGGGUCCAACUACAGUUUCGCCUUCCAAAACGGUCAGAAAUCUAGGGGUAACCAUUGAUGAUGAGCUAAAUUUCACAGACCACAUUUCAAAAACUGCAAGAUCUUGUAGAUUUACACUCUACAAUAUCAGGAAGAUAAGACCCUUCCUCUCUGUACAUGCCACACAACUGCUCGUUCAGUCCCUUGUCAUAACUAGACUGGACUACUGUAAUGUUCUCAUUGCAGGCCUUCCUGCAUGUGCUAUUAGACCUCUCCAAAUGAUCCAGAAUGCAGCAGCACGUCUGGUCUUUAAUGAACCUAAGAGAGCACAUGUUACACCACUCUUUGUCUCUCUCCACUGGCUGCCGGUUCAUGCACGUAUUAAAUUCAAGGCCCUGAUGCUGGCAUAUAAAACAGUCACUGGGUCUGCUCCAGCAUACCUAAAAACAUUUAUGCAGAGCUACGUUCCCACCAGAAGCCUGCGGUCGGCUAAGGAACGUCGCCUUGUCGUACCAAAACAAAGAGGCACCAAAACAC